CCCGCACUCGUCGUCCUGCGUCUCUACACAGUAGACCAGAGACUCAUCUAUCCCGAAGAAAGUGAUUUGUGUGUCAGUCUAUCCAGAUCUAUCAUCAUCCUCAUGAUGAUCCUAUGACUGAAAGUAUUUAAAAAUUAAAUACAUGUCUCUAAUUCUCAACACUUUGAGAAUAUGUAUCGAAACUAAUUCCAUAGACGAUUCAAGGACACAUCACACUUAAAUGAAAAAUAAAUUUAUCCUUUUAUUGAUCAUAUCAAUAUAUUAAGUAUAAAAUUAUAUCCUAGAUUUAUUACAAUGUAUCAGCCAUAUUGGCUUCUAGCACAUACAUCUAACAAUCUCUCACUUGGACAAAAGUCAAUUGGUCACAAAUCUAAGUCCCAUCUUCUCAAGGUGAACUUUUAUUUUUGGUUGGCUCAACUGCUUAUCAGUGGGUCUACUACAUUGCCUGCGGAGUCUACUCUUCGCACCUCGAUAUAUUUUUUUUCAAGGUAGUCGGGUAUACCGCUGCUCUAUGUGCUUGGACUUCUAGUGAGAUCUUGGCUCCUUAGCAAGGGCUAUGACGCCAUUGUCUUUGCAGUACUAUGCCAUUGCAUGACAUCCAGUUCUAUAACUAACAUUAGAACUAAAAUUUAUCCUACACAUCUACAGCAUACUCAGCCUCUAUUGAUCAAUUAAUCAGAACCCU
rnacentral:lncRNA from 1 species